UUGGGCUACGGGGAUAUGUACCCCCAAACGUGGUCGGGGAUGCUGGUGGGAGCCCUGUGUGCCCUGGCUGGGGUGCUGACGAUAGCCAUGCCCGUGCCGGUCAUCGUCAACAAC
rfam:Canis lupus familiaris chromosome 10, whole genome shotgun sequence.